rnacentral:rRNA from 1 species
GAUGAACGCUGGCGGCGUGCCUAAUACAUGCAAGUCGAGCGAACGGACGAGAAGCUUGCUUCUCUGAUGUUAGCGGCGGACGGGUGAGUAACACGUGGAUAACCUACCUAUAAGACUGGGAUAACUUCGGGAAACCGGAGCUAAUACCGGAUGAUAUUUUGAACCGCAUGGUUCAAAAGUGAAAGACGGUCUUGCUGUCACUUAUAGAUGGAUCCGCGCUGCAUUAGCUAGUUGGUAAGGUAACGGCUUACCAAGGCAACGAUGCAUAGCCGACCUGAGAGGGUGAUCGGCCACACUGGAACUGGGACACGGUCCAGACUCCUACGGGAGGCAGCAGUAGGGAAUCUUCCGCAAUGGGCGAAAGCCUGACGGAGCAACGCCGCGUGAGUGAUGAAGGUCUUCGGAUCGUAAAACUCUGUUAUUAGGGAAGAACAUAUGUGUAAGUAACUGUGCACAUCUUGACGGUACCUAAUCAGAAAGCCACGGCUAACUACGUGCCAGCAGCCGCGGUAAUACGUAGGUGGCAAGCGUUAUCCGGAAUUAUUGGGCGUAAAGCGCGCGUAGGCGGUUUUUUAGUCUGAUGUGAAAGCCCACGGCUCAACCGUGGAGGGUCAUUGGAAACUGGAAAACUUGAGUGCAGAAGAGGAAAGUGGAAUUCCAUGUGUAGCGGUGAAAUGCGCAGAGAUAUGGAGGAACACCAGUGGCGAAGGCGACUUUCUGGUCUGUAACUGACGCUGAUGUGCGAAAGCGUGGGGAUCAAACAGGAUUAGAUACCCUGGUAGUCCACGCCGUAAACGAUGAGUGCUAAGUGUUAGGGGGUUUCCGCCCCUUAGUGCUGCAGCUAACGCAUUAAGCACUCCGCCUGGGGAGUACGACCGCAAGGUUGAAACUCAAAGGAAUUGACGGGGACCCGCACAAGCGGUGGAGCAUGUGGUUUAAUUCGAAGCAACGCGAAGAACCUUACCAAAUCUUGACAUCCUUUGACAACUCUAGAGAUAGAGCCUUCCCCUUCGGGGGACAAAGUGACAGGUGGUGCAUGGUUGUCGUCAGCUCGUGUCGUGAGAUGUUGGGUUAAGUCCCGCAACGAGCGCAACCCUUAAGCUUAGUUGCCAUCAUUAAGUUGGGCACUCUAAGUUGACUGCCGGUGACAAACCGGAGGAAGGUGGGGAUGACGUCAAAUCAUCAUGCCCCUUAUGAUUUGGGCUACACACGUGCUACAAUGGACAAUACAAAGGGCAGCGAAACCGCGAGGUCAAGCAAAUCCCAUAAAGUUGUUCUCAGUUCGGAUUGUAGUCUGCAACUCGACUACAUGAAGCUGGAAUCGCUAGUAAUCGUAGAUCAGCAUGCUACGGUGAAUACGUUCCCGGGUCU